rnacentral:rRNA from 1 species
GAUGAACGCUGGCGGCGUGCCUAAUACAUGCAAGCCGAGCGAACGGACGAGAAGCUUGCUUCUCUGAUGUUAGCGGCGGACGGGUGAGUAACACGUGGAUAACCUACCUAUAAGACUGGGAUAACUUCGGGAAACCGUAGCUAAUACCGGAUAAUAUUUUGAACCGCAUGGUUCAAAAGUGAAAGACGGUCUUGCUGUCACUUAUAGAUGGAUCCGCGCUGCAUUAGCUAGUUGGUAAGGUAACGGCUUACCAAGGCAACGAUGCAUAGCCGACCUGAGAGGGUGAUCGGCCACACUGGAACUGAGACACGGUCCAGACUCCUACGGGAGGCAGCAGUAGGGAAUCUUCCGCAAUGGGCGAAAGCCUGACGGAGCAACGCCGCGUGGGUGAUGAAGGUCUUCGGAUCGUAAAACUCUGUUAUUAGGGAAGAACAUAUGUGUAAGUAACUGUGCACAUCUUGACGGUACCUAAUCAGAAAGCCACGGCUAACUACGUG